rnacentral:tRNA from 1 species
UUUAGUUGAAACCAAAAAGAGGUAUUUCAUUGUUAAUGGAAAAAUUGAUUAAU